rnacentral:tRNA from 1 species
GGAGGAAUACCCAAGCGGUUGAAGGGGUCAGUUUCGAAAACUGAUAGUGGGGCCACGCUCCAGCUAGGGUUCGAAUCCCUAUUCCUCCGCCA